rnacentral:lncRNA from 1 species
GCCCGCUUGUUCCCCGCUCGCCGUGAAAAGAGUUUUGAAAUGAGUUCUGAAUAGACAGCAUUUUCUUUGUGCGAGUGGUAAAUAACCCAGAGCGGAGUUACCGAGUUGCAGCUUCUGCAUUCUGAAACUCCAUGGAACUUUUUUGUGGGGAGAAAGGCAGGAUGUUUUUUACAGAAUGUGACCUCCCCGGAACACUGGAGGUGAGGAGAAAACGCUAGUGAGAUAACGGUCACUGCUUUGCAUCUGGGAAAACACAGCUUUUAACAAAGCUACAAGAGGAGAGAAGAUUCCUACUUCCCACCCCAAACCCAUGCCUCAUGGAGUUUCCCCAGGUGCUCUUCCCCUGGGUUUGACAUUUCUUUAGGUCUGAUUUAAGAAUCCGUGAUUUUAUGGUGAUCAUUUUCCUGUGCGCAUUUUUUUUCCUCUCCCAUAGAAAGCAAUAGCAUCUCUGAAUGGGGCCGUGUGGAGAAACCCUAAGAAAAACAGCAUAAGAGCAUUUUGGAAUAUAUCCCGCAAAAGAUAACUUUCUACACAUCUGGCAGAGAUUCUCCAGGUAAAGAUUCUAGAAACCAGUCAGAACAUCCAGGAGGCACUUCACAUACCGUGACUAAAAUCAAGACUCUGAUUUCUAUAAAGAAGAACCGUGAUGGGACAUCAGUUUCCAGGAAACAGAAACGAAGAGGGAUGAUGCCCACGUGCAGUCUUGACUCUCUCACUUGUUUCUGGCAUUUCAGCCCUGGAUUAUAGACCUGGCAGAUCCUGCGGGCAGGUGUGUUGAGCAUAUUCUGAGUAGGGUGUAAAGGCCCAUUUCUGUUGUAAACAGUGGUUUAAACCGCCAUCUCCGUUUUUCAGACCUUUUCAUUUGUUUGCAUAUUUUGCAGAAACCAGG